UGAGGAAUAUUGCGCAAUGGGCGCAAGCCUGGUCCAGCCAUGCCGCGUGCAGGAUGAAGGCCUUCGGGUUGUAAACUGCUUUUGUACGGAACGAAAAGACUCCUUCUAAUAAAGGGGGUCCAUGACGGUACCGUAAGAAUAAGCACCGGCUAACUACGUGCCAGCAGCCGCGGUAAUACGUAGGGUGCGAGCGUUAAUCGGAAUUACUGGGCGUAAAGCGCGCGCAGGCGGUUAUAUAAGACAGAUGUGAAAUCCCCGGGCUCAACCUGGGAACUGCAUUUGUGACUGUAUAGCUAGAGUACGGCAGAGGGGGAUGGAAUUCCGCGUGUAGCAGUGAAAUGCGUAGAUAUGCGGAGGAACACCGAUGGCGAAGGCAAUCCCCUGGGCCUGUACUGACGCUCAUGCACGAAAGCGUGGGGAGCAAACA
rnacentral:rRNA from 1 species